AGCUAGAUUCCGGAUGAUGUUUCCCUACGAACCCCGCCAGGACCGGAAGGUAGCAACGGUAGUGGGAGUAAGCAGGUGUCCGGCCCAUCUAGCUGUC
rnacentral:SRP_RNA from 1 species